rnacentral:rRNA from 1 species
GCUGGUUCUCCCCGAAAUAGCUUUAGGGCUAGCGUCGGAAUGAACCCAUGUGAAGGUAGAGCACUGAAUGUGUGAUGGCCCCAUCCCGGGGUACUGAAUACAAUCAAACUCCGAAUGUCAUGUGGGAUGUCCGGCAGUCAGACUGUGAGUGAUAAGGUCCAUGGUCGAGAGGGAAACAGCCCAGACCGCCAGUUAAGGUCCCAAAAUGCAGGCUAAGUGGAAAAGGAUGUGGGGAUGCCCAGACAACUAGGAGGUUGGCUCAGAAGCAGCCACCCUUUAAAGAGUGCGUAACAGCUCACUAGUCGAGUGACCCUGCGCCGAAAAUGUACCGGGGCUAAGCCUGAUACCGAAACUGCGGAAUCGAAUGAUUGGUAGGGGAGCGUUGUAUACGGGUGGAAGCCGUACCGUGAGGAGCGGUGGACUGUAUAGAAGUGAGAAUGCCGGUGUGAGUAGCGAGAUGUAGGUGAGAAUCCUACACACCGAAAGCCCAAGGAUUCCAGGGGAAGGUUCGUCCGCCCUGGGUAAGUCGGGACCUAACGCGAGGCCGAAAGGCGUAGUGGAUGGAAAGCAGGCGGAGAUUCCUGCACCCGUAUGUGGAGCGAUGGAGUGACGGAGACGGCUAAUGUGACCCUCUUAACGGAUUGAGGGCGAAGCGGGGUAGCGGUCGACCAGGCAAAUCCGGUCGGCAGAACGCGAAGACGUGACAGGGAAGCGAACGCUUUGGCAAGUAGCGAAGCACAUGAGGCCGGCUUCCAAGAAAAGCUUCUGGCAAUGCACAUGCGGCCCGUACCAAAACCGACACAGGUGGGCAGGUAGAGGAUACCAAGGUGAGCGAGAGAACUGUUGCCAAGGAACUCGGCAAAAUGGCUCCGUACGUUCGCAAGAAGGAGCGCUUAUGAAAAUAAGCCGCAGUGAAUAGGCCCAAGCGACUGUUUAACUAAAACACAGCUCUCUGCGAAGUCGCAAGACGAAGUAUAGGGGGUGACACCUGCCCGGUGCCGGAAGGUUAAGAGGAUCUGUCAAUCGCAAGAUGAAGCAGUGAGUUGAAGCCCCGGUGAACGGCGGCCGUAACUAUAACGGUCCUAAGGUAGCGAAAUUCCUUGUCAGGUAAGUUCUGACCCGCACGAAAGGUGUAACGAUUUGGGCGCUGUCUCGGCAGCAGGCUCGGUGAAAUCUUAGUACCUGUGAAAAUGCAGGUUACCCGCAACUAGACGGAAAGACCCCAUGGAGCUUUACUGUAGCCUGGUAUUGGAUUUUGGUCAGACAUGUACAGGAUAGGUGGGAGACUGUGAGACGUGCACGCCAGUGUACGAGGAGUCGCCGUUGGGAUACCACUCUUGUGUGAUCGGAGUUCUAACCUGGUGGCCUGAACCGGCCAUAGGGAGAGUGCCAGGUGGGCAGUUUGACUGGGGCGGUCGCCUCCCAAAGAG